GACGUAGGGCGCGAGCGUUGUCCGGAUUUAUUGGGCGUAAAGAGCUCGUAGGCGGCUUGUCGCGUCGGCUGUGAAAUCCCGUGGCUCAACUGCGGGUCUGCAGCCGAUACGGGCAGGCUAGAGUUCGGUAGGGGAGACUGGAAUUCCUGGUGUAGCGGUGAAAUGCGCAGAUAUCAGGAGGAACACCGGUGGCGAAGGCGGGUCUCUGGGCAACAACUGACGCUGAGGAGCGAAAGCGUGGGGAGCGAACAGG
rnacentral:rRNA from 1 species